GAUUGUUGAUCCUGGCUCAGGAUGAACGCUAGCGGCAGGCAUAACACAUGCAAGUCGAGGGGUAGAACACUUCGGUGUUUGAGACCGGCGCACGGGUGCGUAACGCGUAUGCAAUCUACCUUGUACAGGGGAAUAGCCCAGAGAAAUUUGGAUUAAUGCCCCAUAGUAUAUAACCUUCGCAUGUUGGUUAUAUUAAAGUUCCAACGGUACAAGAUGAGCAUGCGUCCCAUUAGUUAGUUGGUAAGGUAACGGCUUACCAAGACGAUGAUGGGUAGGGGUCCUGAGAGGGAGAUCCCCCACACUGGUACUGAGACACGGACCAGACUCCUACGGGAGGCAGCAGUGAGGAAUAUUGGUCAAUGGUCGCAAGACUGAACCAGCCAUGCCGCGUGCAGGAAGACGGUCCUAUGGAUUGUAAACUGCUUUUAUACAGGAAGAAACCCUCCCACGUGUGGGAGCUUGACGGUACUGUAGGAAUAAGGAUCGGCUAACUCCGUGCCAGCAGCCGCGGUAAUACGGAGGAUCCAAGCGUUAUCCGGAAUCAUUGGGUUUAAAGGGUCCGUAGGCGGUCUUAUAAGUCAGUGGUGAAAGCCCAUCGCUCAACGAUGGAACUGCCAUUGAUACUGUAAGACUUGAAUGCUUAGGAAGUAACUAGAAUAUGUAGUGUAGCGGUGAAAUGCUUAGAUAUUACAUGGAAUACCAAUUGCGAAGGCAGGUUACUACUAAGUGAUUGACGCUGAUGGACGAAAGCGUGGGGAGCGAACAGGAUUAGAUACCCUGGUAGUCCACGCCGUAAACGAUGGAUACUAGCUGUUCGGAGCAAUCUGAGUGGCUAAGCGAAAGUGAUAAGUUCCCAC
rnacentral:rRNA from 1 species